rnacentral:rRNA from 2 species
AUGAUGACUCUCGGCAACGGAUAUCUCGGCUCUCGCAUCGAUGAAGAACGUAGCGAAAUGCGAUACCUGGUGUGAAUUGCAGAAUCCCGUGAACCACCGAGUCUUUGAACGCAAGUUGCGCCCGAGGCCACCCGGCCGAGGGCACGCCUGCCUGGGCGUCACGC